UUUCAUCUAAACUGCCGCUCCCUUCGCUGGACCAUCACGAGAGCGGACGUUUCCUUUUCCCUGCAUCCCGUUCUCUCCCCAGGCGGCGGCGGUCCGAUGUGGCCGCCGGAGGCGACGUUGGCGGGACGUCUGGCCGGCGACGGGAGUGGAUCAACGAGAUCGAGCCGCUCUGGGACGGAAUCGACUCGAUCCCUGUCCACUUCCCUUCUUCGCAGGAGACGGGGACACGAGCGGUGGCGGCCCGAUGUGGCCAGCAGGAGGAGAUGGCGGCGGCAACUCCCGGCCGGAGAUAGGAGCAGCUCCAAGUGGUCGAGUUGAUCUGGUCCACGACCGACUUGUUCCUGGUCUCCAUCCUUUCUUCCCAGUCAAUGGUAGCUCGUUAGGAGGACCCGUCGGAGGCUGCAGCGGUCGGCCGGCGGCAUGGACGGGAACAAUGAAAUCCGACGACUUGGAGCCAUUCACUCAGUUGGAUGAUGAGGCUUGGAUGGGGAGGUCAAUGAUGUCUCUGAUUGCUGGUACACAACAGAGUGUCAACUUUGAAGAUUGUGUGCAUGAUCAAGUGAAAGGAGAACAAUUUUUGGAGGUGGAGGAAGGGUCGGAUGAGGAAUCAGAAUCUGAUGUGGAGCCUUUUAUUGUGCAUUGCGAAGGAGAUUCAGAUGUGGAUGAACUUUAUCCAACUCCCACUUAUGAAGAACUUGUUGCAGAAGAGGCACCAAAGUCGAAGGAAGAAUUACAGAAGGAAAGUAAAGUGAAGCAAGCUAAAUGAAGGGCAAUGAUGACAAGGAAAGUGAAAAAGAGGGCAGCUGAUUAUGCAGCAGGUGUAGAAGAUAAAGGCCUGACCUUUAGUGAUCAAGACAACGAAGAUUGCAAGAAUCUUUCAGAUUCUAGUGAUGACGAUGGAGUUGUCCCUAAAACAAGCUUGUCUGUCACUUAGAGGAAGAGUAGAUCAAAUAAUGCAGAAGAGAAUCUACUAUGAUGAGUAAAGGAAAAAUGCACAUGAUCAAAUAUGCUUGCACAUGUGUUUUGUUGAUGUGCAUCAAUGCAGAAGGGCGCUUGUGAACCACCACAUCCAUAACUGCCGCAACUACGAAUUUCUUGAAAAUACACCUAGCAGAAUAGUAGUUUGCUGCAAGUUAAAUGGUACAUGUCCAUUCACCAUGACCACAUCAAUUAUCAAAGGCGAGAAGACUCAUUGCAUUCGGCAGCUUGUGAUGCCUCACACAUGUGGCACCACACCAGAAUCUUCAAGGAUAAACAGUGAGUGGAUUAACAACACCUAUGAAGAAGACAUCAAAACUGAUUCGGAUAUGAAAGUGAAAGCUUUGAUAGCCAUGAUAAAGAGACAAUAUGGAGUUAAGGUGUCAAAACACAUGGCCUACAGGGCCAAAAACAUGGCAUUGCAGAAUGUGGAGGGGCAUCUCAAAAGACAAUAUUUCCGUAUAAGGGACUAUCUCCAGACCGUGAUAGACUGCAACCUAGGGAGUCGAUGUGUCGUGCAGACAAUUGUUAAUCCGGAUCCACAAAAGAAUCCUAGGUUCCAUGGUCUCUUUUUUGCGUCCAUGCUCAUAUCGAAGGAUUUCUAGAAGGUUGUCGACCUUUCAUUGGUGUUGAUGGCUGUUUCAUCAAGAUAGCUAAUGGUGCUCAAAUAUUAGCAGCCAUUGGAAGGGACGGCAAUAACAACUUGUACCCACUAGCCUUUGGAGUUGUUGGAAAAGAGGAAACAUCAACAUGGUGCUGGUUUCUCAUGCAACUAAGAUAUGCUCUAGGUGGUGGCACUAGUAAGUCUGGUCAUCCUUUCACAAUCAUGUCAGAUCGUCAAAAAGGCCUCUUAAAUGCAGUUUCUAAAAUAUUUCCUGAAUGUGAGCAAAGAUUUUGCCUUAGGCACAUAUAUGCAAAUUUCCAAUUUUUCUUUAGGGGUUGUUUCAAAUGGCAAUUCACAGGAAUUCCUUGCAAACAUGCAAACGCUGCUAUUUAUGCGAGGCACCAUGACCACCCGGAAGAUCAUGUUUCAGAGUUUUUCAAGAAGCCGUGCUAUCAAAAGGCAUAUCAAGAUAUAAUAUUCCCAGUGCCAGGGCAGCAUGACUGGACCAAAACUGAUACUCCAGGCAUAGAUCCUCCAGUUUUCACUAGGCACCCCGUAAGGAAAAAUAAAUAAAAGGAGAUUGGGUCCUACCGAGACUGGGUAUAAUGGUAGAGGGUAUGUGGCAGCCAUAACAUGCUCAAACUGCAAGCUAAAAGGGCAUAGAUACACCACUUUACCCAGCCGUUGAAAUCCCAUCUUGUUGUCCGAAAACAAAGGCACAAGAGCAACCGAAAGUUCCCUAAUCUAUUUGUGCCCCCGGCUGCAAGUGCACACUCAACUUCAUCUACUACGACACAAGCAUCAAGUGCAUGCCCAACUUCAUCUACUACACCAGAAGCUACAAGAACCUCUGAUGUAAUGCCCCAUGCUCCAGCUUCAGGACACGCACCAUGGAUUCCACCAAGACAAGCUGCUCCAACAUAUGCACCUCCACAGGGACAAAAAAUGGGAGGGGGGUAUCUAAGCUCCGGAUUGUAUAGUUACUUCACUGCAGGUCUUGAUGCCGAGAAUCGGCAAGAAGAAGAAUGAUGUUUAAUGCUACGCUUAGUGACCAAGCAUAUUUCUUUUUUGGACGCAUGUGCGAAGAGACGCAAAUUUUGUAAAUAUUUCUAUGAGCCAUGAUGGUGAUCCGAAUGGGAUCAUAUUAUUGUUGUCA